rnacentral:lncRNA from 1 species
ACGGGGCCAUGAGAGUGUGGAGGAGCCAUUGAGGAAGCUUUUCUCCUUGUCGAUCAAUUGAGUCUUUGUUUGCAUCGGGAUGAGGUCCUCCCCUCAUUCCCAACAGUCGGUUUCAGCUUGUGUCAGGAUGAGGUUCUCCUCCUAUUUCUGACAAGGCUGUGGGCGCACAUAAGGGCCGUUGUGAGGGCCUCUCCCCCCAUCCGAUCUUUAGGAAAUCGGGCCUUCGACUUUGCUCAUGUUAGGAUGAGGUUCUCCUCCUGUUCCUAACAAGGCUGUGGGGGCACAUAAGGGCCGUUGUAAGGGCCUCUCCCCCC